GCAAGUCUGGGGUAGGGGCGGGCCCAAAAGCACAGAGAGAGGAAGUCAGAAAGCCCGUCAUUAAAGAAGCCCUAGCAUUCAUCGCUGGCUGGGGUCUGGGUGACUUCAGCGGCACCCUGAUGCAGGCUGCUCUCAGAAGCCCCAGCAGGCAGAAGGCAGAAGCCAGGGGCUUAGCCGGUGGACGUUUCCUUCUGAAGUGUCUUUCCCUGCGUGCUCCAGGCUCACCCCCUUCCCUUCUGGCACAUCUCUAGUUUGGUUUUGUUUGGACAGGAUCUUACUGUGGAACUCAGGCAACCCUGGAACUCAUGAGACUUUUGCUUCAGCUUCCUGAGUGCUGAGGUUGUAGACGGGUGCCACCAACCAGCUUGGUAUUUCUUUCUGGCUGAUGUAAAAAAAAAAAAAUAGUGCAGACAGGUGAAAAAUCAACACUCAAAACUUGAUUGAGCCUCGUGUGGUGGUGCAAAACGUCUAACCCCAGAACACGGGAGGCAGAAGCAGGCGGGGUUGAGGUGAGUCUGAGGACAACCAGGGCUAUGCAUUGAGACCUUGUGUCAAAGAGAAAAAAUGAGGAUCUGGAGAGGUGGCUCAGUAGUGAAGAGCUCAUUACUGUUCUUUCAGAGAACCAGAGUUUGGUUCCCAGCAGGCAAGGUUUGAAACCAUCUGUAACUCUAGUUUCAGGGGAUCAAACAUCCUCUUCCAGCUUUCGUGGGACACUUGCACACACCCCCACACCCCUAAGAAAACAAAACUGGACCAGCGAGAUGUCCAGCAGGUAAAGACAAUUGCUGCUGAAACCUGGAGCUUCAUUGUGGAAGAAUGGAAUCAACUCCUACAAGAUGCCCUCCGACCGCCACAAGGAUGCCCAUACACAUACAUAUAUGUACACACAACACACACACACACACACACACACACACACACACACACACACACAGAGCUGUAUUUUGUCUGUACCUGCUUUUCUCCUCUAGCAGUAUAUCACAGUAGCUUUCUGAGGGGAGACCACAUACGCACCAUCCAUGGGUGCAGGAAACGCUACUGUGUUCAGGCUGUACACACCUUUGUCUGUGUCAUCCUUACUGUUGAUGGUUAGUCUCUGAGUAUUUUCUCUAUUAAAAGUGACCUGAUGGGUCAGGUGUGGUGUGCAUGCCUACAACCCCAGAACUCAGGAAACGGAAGCAGGGGGAUCAGGAGUUUGAGGCCAUCCUAGGCUACAUGAGAUAUAUUCUCUCUCUCUCUCUCUCUCUCUCUCUCUCUCUCUCUCCCCGCCCCCCCCCUCAGGCAGAGUGCUAGCACAGCAUGCAGGAAGCCUGGCAUUUAGUGUCCAGCAUGACAGGAAGUGAGCACCUGUAAUCCAGUACUGAGGUACAGGCAGAAAGACCAGGAGCUCAUGGUCAUCCUUUGAUAUAGAUGGUUUGUUCAAGGCCAGCCUGAGUUACACCUGACCCUGCUUAAAAACAAAUGAAACCAACAAAAAAAAAAAAAAAAACAACAACAAAGAAACUGUGCCCCAGGCCUAAGACCCCCGCCACUCAGGAGGCUGAGGCAAGAGGACCACAAGUUUGAGGCCAGCGCAGGCAACCCAGAGGUACUGUCUCAAAAUAGAAGACAAAAGUCUGGUAAGAAUUUGGGCCUGGUAGCUCACUUAUGUAAUCCCAGCAGUUGGUGGGCUGAGGUAGGAUUGCACCAAGUUCCAUGCCCAGUCAGGAUUACAGGGUAAGACCCUGUCUUAAAAACUGGGUGGUGGGGUUGGGGAUUUAGCUCAGUGGUAGAGCGCUUGCUAAGGCCCUGGGUUCGGUCCCCAGCUCCGAAAAAAAGAAAAAAAAAAAACUGGGCGGUGGUGGCCCAUGCCUUUGAUCCUAGCACUCAGGAAGCAGAGGCAAGCGGAUCUCUGAGUUCGAGGCCAAUCUGGUCUACAGUGUGAGUUCCAGGACAGCCAGGGCUAUACAGUGAAACCCUGUCUCAAAAAACCAAAAAACCCACGAAAAAACCCCAAACAAAGAUUAAAACUAAACAAAAAGGAAAGAAAGAAAGAAAGAAAGAAAGAAAGAAAGAAAGAAAAGAAACCCUUAACACUACAGUGCUAGAGUGCUAGAGAUGGCUCAGUGAUUAAGAGUACUUUCUGCCAUUACAGAGCCCCUGGGCUGGGUUCCCAGCACCCACAUGGCAGUCUAGCAUGUGUGAGGGUCUGGGCUCAGGGUCGAGGACUGAAAAAUAAAAGCUAAACUAAGUUUAACUUCAUUGUAUUUAAACCCUUAGUGAUCACCACCUUUUGUGAGAACGCUUUCCUAGAAUCAGGAUCUGUGGGGCAAACAGCGGGCCUGCUCAAUCCAUUCUGCCCAGAGCAGGAAAGCUCUGGUUUAUUAAACAUUAGGAGGCUGUUUGCUACUCCAGCCUUCAUUCUAGGCCGACGGUGUAAAUCUGGACUGAGAUCUGUAAGAGUAACUCUUCCGGGGCCAAUAAGACAUGGUACUAUUUUUAUACAUAAUGAUAGUUCUGACUUCCCUCAAAGACAGAUGGGCUUUCUGGUCGUCCCCCCAGCCCCCGUCCUCCUUGCCGCCAACCCCCCGCAAGUUUUAGAUACAUGGUUGUUUCAGCUACACCCUCUGCUUUGCAGCAGACAGGCCUGGUGAGGCCUUCCUCUUGGACCCUUAUGGAGCAGAGAGGCUGAAUGGGUAGAGGACAGAGCAUCCUGUGUGGGUUUCCUUGUGAAAACCGGAGUGACCUGACCAGCUACUGCACCCAGACAAAAGGCCAAGUCUUAUCAGGAACAAGUCUAGAGUUGCUCCCACAAUGAGGGUUAAAAAAAAAAUUUUUUUUUCUUUCUUUAAAGACAGAGUAUCUUGUAGCUCGGGUUGGCCUCGAACUUGCCAUGGAGCUGAGGAUGGCCUUGAACUCUCAGCCUUCUGCCAGUACCUCCUAAGGGCUGGUGAGGUGGGAACGUGCAGCAGUAUCUGUUUUUAUGUUGGGGGAAUCAAACCCAGGGCUUCCUGCAUGCCAGGCAGGCGCUCUCCCAACUGAGCUACGGCCCCAGUGAUUUUUGUUGCUGUUUCGAGGUAGGGUCUCAGGUGCUCCAGAUUUUUCUUGAUAUAUAACCAAGGAUGACUUUAAACUUCCCAAUCCUAUUGCCACUGUACCCCCAAGUACAAGAUAUAGACAAGCUCAGAGUAGGGGGGUGAGGCUUCGAGAUAGCCCGAACGAGGCCUCUAGAGCUAAAUUAAUCAGAGAUGCAGGCUUCGUGUCCUGAUGUCACUGGGAAGCCGGUCCCUCUAGCUACACUGUAAGGACAGGACCUAGAACAAAAACAGUUCUCCUAAUGAAAACAACCCUAAAUCAGAUACAAACUCACAGCCCGGGGCAAGCAGCCUGCUCCAUGAAGACGCCACAAGGUCCAGUCACCUAAUGCAAGCCUAGCAAGGCAGUGGAAGGCAUUUGUCGCAUGAGUUUAUAUAUGCUGCGUCAGGGUCUGGAGGAGUCUACAAAGUUGUACAAAGUUUUAAGCCAAUGCUCUGCUUAUUGAAUGACAGCCUUGUAAUCUAUCAGAUGCUUGGGAAUAACGGGGGGUGAGAUGAGAUGGGGGAGUGGAGGCUGGCUUUGAGGAAACUUCAUAGUCUUCCCAGUCUGUAACAGGAUAGUGAUGGUCAGCUCAUCCCCUUCCUAAAAGUUUCAGGCCUUGGUGUUAGCAUUCCGUCUAGGCUCCGCCCCAGUUACCUGGCAACAGCCAGGUGUGCCAGACUCACUAUAAAAGGGGCUGCUUGACCCCUCCUCACUCUCUUGCUCUCUUACUCUUCUUCUCUUUCUGUCCUGCUCCCCCUCUUUCCCCCCUCUCCCCCCCCAACGUGCUCACGGCCAGCCUCUACUACUCUACUCUCUGCCUUUCUCUGUCUCCACUACCCCCAACAACUCUCCUCCCCAUGCCCUAAAUAAACUCUCUUCUAUAUUAUACUGUCGUGUGUCUGGUACUCAGGGAUAAGGGAUGCUUCAGCAUGGACCCGCAGAGGCACCCCCUUCCCCCACACCAUACCGGGCCACCACCAAACAUAGCCCUGACUUCUCUAUCUUUUUUAUAAAACACAACACUUGAAACUGUUAGAUGGUCUAGAAAGUAACCAUUUACCAUAUACCCGGGUGACCUGUGACGAGACCCUGCAGCCCAGCCAGAAUUCAAAGCCAGAGGAAUGAGGGACCAUCACAUCAAGGACAAUUUCAACACCACGCUCCUCCUUCCCAGGAGAGUUGAGAUGUGUGAGUUCUUACGGCUCAGAGUUCGGUGCCCCAGUGUGGGGGGGGUCUGUUGAAUAUUGUGACCCAACAGCGAUUAAGGAAGGAAGACAGAACGGAGGCGAACACUGGAGAAUCUCAGGGAAACUGGAUCACAUUGCAAGCUAAGCUGGUCCGAGCUGCCCGGAGGGAGGAUGGGUGGAGUCUAGAGACGCUCUAGCGCAAAGGACUGAGAAGAACCAAGUACUAGGGGAGGUAACUUGAGGAAGAAUAGUGACAAUUAUGGACCCAGGAGCGGGUGGUGUGGAUGCUGGGAAACUUGGAAGCUACCUAAGCGGGAGUCAGGAACAGCGAAACAAUAACAAGCUUGUUACCGGUCUGAUUGACCGGGGGCUCUGAACCAAGCCAGGGAAAGUACUGAGUCUGCGCUGCCACGCCCCCUGCCUGGCCCUAGGGGCUCUCCGGGGCUUCCUUCGGGGCAUCUUAGUGGUUAUUAUAAGGCAAUGUCCCAGAGAAAACAAAAGACCCCCCUACCCUGAAAUCACCCAUUUGGCUGGGCAUUAGGGUGGAACAGGAGAGACUCUUGACAGAGAAGCAGGAAAGGGGGCAGGCAUCAGGACAAGACGGAUUGAGGUGGAAGACACCAGCUGGUGGAUCUGGGAGUCCCGCCCCACAGGGCACUAGAGUCAGGAACUCAGAACGGCCUUUGGGGGUAAGAAGGGCGGAGGAGCAGGGUGGAGGAAGGACAGCCUUUUUCUUACCGGUCAGCAUUCCCAGGGGUGGGGAGGACGCAAGGUCAGGCUAGGCAGGAAGGGAGGUCAGGUCUCAAAAUCUGACUCAGCAGCCAUCCCUCAGCCUGGACAGAGGUGGUCACAGGUGGAGGAGGGGAGAGGCAAAGAAAGAGCCAGUGCUUAUAAUUAAUUCAUGACUUUUUCUAUUUUUACAGGUGCUCGAGCGAGUGGGUGGAGGGGACCUAGCAAAUCUAAGACCCCCGCCUGUCAAGCCCAUCCCCUGCCUCUGCGACAGACAGAGCCAUGCUAAAGCCAGGCACAAUCUCUGGGGACAAUCUCUUUGGGGAGGGAAGUUGGGGCUUGGCCCGGGGUAAGGGGAAAACAGACAGGAAGGAUACUCCAAGUGUAGCUGCAGAAAUCACUGUGUGUCAGAGCUGAAUGGAAGGACAGGAUUUGGGGACCGAGUAACACAAAUGGGUCCUCUGACGUGACUGUCUUUUGGCAGACGAUCCAUCCCCACCCCAUCACCCAGGUCUCCUGGCCUGGCCAGCGGACCAGAGUGACUAGACUUCCUUUGUCCCUACUUCCCUGUCCUUCAUUUGGCCCCAGGCCUUGGUUACAAACAUCCCUUCUCCCAGCAUGCCUGCCUUCCUCCAGCCUUCCAGCUCAGGGCUCUUUGCUGAGGGGACUAUGCCGUCACACGGCGGCCGGCCGUUACUUCAACUUCUCACACUUCCGUCUCCUCCGCUGGAAUUCAGGAUCAGGAGGACAGAGAUUCCAUCCCUAGACUUGGCACAGCCUCUGGCAGGAAGAAGGUCCUCUUUCUUCAUAGAGUGUUUCCUUACUGGGCGUCCCCAUGGUUCCUGGGCUCUGUCUAUGACUGGAGCUGCAGGCCUGAUCAGCAGGGCCCAAGAAGCAGGGGGUGUGGGAGCUCUUCAGUCCUGCUAGAAUGGUAGUUCUUGCCCCUUCGAGGAAGCUACGCACAUCUCCCACCCCUACUCCAAGGCUUCUUCCUCCCACAUCUGGGCUGGGCAUGGCGCCAAGCCUUCAUUAGGGGGUGCGGGAACUAAAUGAGACCGUCAUGGUAUUAGCAUCUGCCUCCCCUAGAGGCUGUCUUCGCCAGAAAUCAGCUUUUCAUCUUUCCUUCUGCGCUAGCCUCUCCCAGGAAGCCAUCCCACAACCACUUACACUUAGAGCCUACAAGUGGACCUCCCCCACCCAGCCCUUGUGUACCCAGAGGGUCAGGCUGUAACUGUGCCCAGGGCCCAGAAUAAUGUCUAGCGCUCACAUGGUGCCAGUAGGUGUUCACUGAGUAGAAAAGUUUUAGGGGUAGUGGCCAGGACAGAGAAGAGAUGCCACAGAAACAUGGGGAGCUCACUGCAUAGCAGCGUCUAGCCCAACACCCUCCAUCCUACAGAGUUCUCCCAAGGUUCUGAUUCAAGGACAAGUACAGGGACCGGCUCCUCAUCUGCAGGGAUCUCAUUUGGCAAGAAGUCAGAAAUUGCUAAAGGACCCCUUCACAUCCUGAGCCACUUGGGUGGAAGCCCUGAGCAGGGAAGGACCAGGGAACGCCUCUCUCGGGAAGGCAGAUUGGAGACUUCCAGCUUCUUCUCAGGCAUAAGCAUGCACCACCCGCCUCCUGGGCAGAGGGAAGCGAGUUGGGGAAACUUUUUGGAAGUCUUAGAGCUCAGAAAUUCUGACCCGGACAGGUGCUGUUGAUCUGCAGAGAUGACUUAUCCCAACAUAUAGUGCAUUCUUAGCAAAAGUACCAGAAAUCCCCUGUGGGCUCCAAGCUUCCAUUACACCUAGUACUCGGGCCCCCUAAUAAUCGGGCUCCCUAACAAUACCCUACCGGGGCAUGCGAGUAGUUGCUGCUACUAAAAUGAGAAGGAUGAUGAAUGCCCUCUCAACUGGACACUUUUGCAAGUCUCCUCCUGAGUCCGAAUCUUCCAGGGCAGCGCCCUUCUUGGUCCACGUCUCCAUUCUCAAGACGGAUUACGCUCUGCUGGGCACACUAGAUCCAGCCCAGCCCUUUUCUAGGUGAUACCGCCCAACAAUGGAGUAGUGGCCAGGGGUCUCGGGACACACGAUGUUUCCCUCCCCGCCGCGCUCACCCUGCUCCAGGUCCUGAUGGUCGUACCAGGACUCCUCCUCCUCUGCGGAGUACUCCUCCAUCCCCGCGGCUCUCCGCAUGGCCCCGCGGGUGGCGGUGGGCGGGCGCUGCGGCAGCUCAGGGCCUGGGCUCGCAGCCCGGGACAAUGCGGCGGAGGCGGCCCGGGCUUCCAACGUCGCGGGCUCGGGCUGCAGCGCCCCUGCGCCCGCCGCCCGUGAUCGCCAUCCGCUACCGGCCGUGCGCCCAGUGGGGCCUCUGGCUCCCGCGCUCCCCGGGUCCCGCCGAACUGGGACGCCGGGUGGCGGCGGCACAAAGGGCGGAGGGGUGGGGACUGUAAAGCAGGACGACAGUUGGGACCACCCUAGACCGCCUGCAGGGCUGGGGCGUCAGCAGAAUGUGGGUGCAGCGGCGAGUACCCCUUGCCCGCCUCCGGCCCGCACACCGCCCGGCCUGCGCCGUGACACCCGGAGCCGCCGCUGCAUCUCCGCCCGGCCCGCUUACAGCUUCCCAGGCCGCCAGCUCUGAGGGGUGGAGCCUGCCGCCGGAGACCAAUCACGAGGUUGGUCCUCACCGAGGAGAACGCGCUGACCCACUGAUACAGUCCAUGAACGUUCUUUACACCGGUAUUAAUUUACAAACAUCUUUAAGAACCUUGAAUGGAGGUUUGGCUGCUGGAACACUCGAGGUUAAGAGUUCCUGCUGAGGAUUUGACUACGGUUCCCACGGCACCCACGGCAAGCAGUUCACAAUAGCCUAACAGUCAAGCAGCUCUUAACAGCCAGCUCCAGGGAAAAUCUGACACCCCUGGCCUCCGUGGGUACAUAUACUUUAUACUUUCACACAAACAUGAUUAAAAGAUGCAGGCACAGUGG